rnacentral:rRNA from 2 species
CCUACACAUGCAGUCGAGCGGCAGCGGGAAGUAGCUUGCUACUUUGCCGGCGAGCGGCGGACGGGUGAGUAAUGUCUGGGAAACUGCCUGAUGGAGGGGGAUAACUACUGGAAACGGUAGCUAAUACCGCAUGACCUCGAAAGAGCAAAGUGGGGGACCUUCGGGCCUCACGCCAUCGGAUGUGCCCAGAUGGGAUUAGCUAGUAGGUGAGGUAAUGGCUCACCUAGGCGACGAUCCCUAGCUGGUCUGAGAGGAUGACCAGCCACACUGGAACUGAGACACGGUCCAGACUCCUACGGGAGGCAGCAGUGGGGAAUAUUGCACAAUGGGCGCAAGCCUGAUGCAGCCAUGCCGCGUGUGUGAAGAAGGCCUUCGGGUUGUAAAGCACUUUCAGCGAGGAGGAAGGCGUUAAGGUUAAUAACCUUGGCGAUUGACGUUACUCGCAGAAGAAGCACCGGCUAACUCCGUGCCAGCAGCCGCGGUAAUACGGAGGGUGCAAGCGUUAAUCGGAAUUACUGGGCGUAAAGCGCACGCAGGCGGUUUGUUAAGUCAGAUGUGAAAUCCCCGAGCUUAACUUGGGAACUGCAUUUGAAACUGGCAAGCUAGAGUCUUGUAGAGGGGGGUAGAAUUCCAGGUGUAGCGGUGAAAUGCGUAGAGAUCUGGAGGAAUAUGUGAAAUCCCCAAGCUUAACUUGCGAACUGCAUUUGGGACUGGCUAGCUAGAGUCUUGUAGAG